CCAAUGAAAUGGAAUUGAUGGUCUUGUUAUGCGGAUUCAUCUUGUGCUCUUUGGGGUGCGAGGUGGACAUGCGGUGAGCACUGUGUUUCCAACAUGCCAAGUGCAUUGGUGUUUGGUUGUUGUGGCCUAUGGUGUCUUUGCUUAUUCUCUUGGAUGCGGAAAGCUAAAUGUGGGCGUGAGGUCUCAACCUUGAAUCGUCCAAGCACUGUCUUUUGACUCGAAUGACUGCUGCGCCUGUCUUGAUCUUCCCGACCAAGGCCUCGUAAUGGGGCUUACUGGAUGAGGGNGGAUCAUGCAGGUGUUGGCGU
rnacentral:misc_RNA from 1 species